GUACCCUCAAGCUUUGCUUGGUGUUGGGCGUCUUGUCUCCAGUUCGCUGGAGACUCGCCUUAAAGUCAUUGGCAGCCGGCCUACUGGUUUCGGAGCGCAGCACAAGUCGCGCUCUCUUCCAGCCAAGGUCAGCGUCCACAAAGCCUUUUUUUCAAC
rnacentral:misc_RNA from 1 species